GAUAAACGCUAGCGGCAGGCUUAACACAUGCAAGUCGAGGGGCAGCAUAGAUUGUAGCAAUACAAUUGGUGGCGACCGGCGCACGGGUGCGUAACGCGUAUGCAACCUACCCGUCACAGGGGGAUAAUCCGGAGAAAUCUGGUCUAAUACCCCAUAACAUAUGGAUCGGCAUCGGUUCAUGUUGAAAUUUUCGGAGGUGACGGAUGGGCAUGCGUAGCAUUAGCUUGUUGGUGAGGUAACGGCUCACCAAGGCGACGAUGCUUAGGGGGACUGAGAGGUUUUCCCCCCACACGGGGACUGGGACACGGACCAGACUCCUACGGGAGGCAGCAGUGAGGAAUAUUGGUCAAUGGGCGCAAGCCUGAACCAGCCAUGCCGCGUGCAGGAUGACGGCUCUAUGAGUUGUAAACUGCUUUUGUACGAGGGUAAAGUGGGUUACGUGUAACCUUUUGAAAGUAUCGUACGAAUAAGGAUCGGCUAACUCCGUGCCAGCCGCCGCAGUAA
rnacentral:rRNA from 1 species